rnacentral:rRNA from 1 species
AGUCGCACGAGAAAGGGUAGCAAUACCUGAGUAAAGUGGCGCACGGGUGAGUAACACGUGAAUAAUCUACCUCCGAGUGGGGAAUAACUGAGAGAAAUCUUAGCUAAUACCGCAUAACACUUACGAGUCAAAGCAGCAAUGCGCUUGGAGAGGAGUUCGCGGCCGAUUAGUUAGUUGGCGGGGUAAUGGCCCACCAAGACGAUGAUCGGUAUCCGGCCUGAGAGGGCGCACGGACACACUGGAACUGAAACACGGUCCAGACUCCUACGGGAGGCAGCAGUGGGGAAUUUUGCGCAAUGGGGGAAACCCUGACGCAGCGACGCCGCGUGAGCGAUGAGGCCCUUCGGGGUGUAAAGCUCUUUCGACGGGAACGAUAAUGACGGUACCCGAAGAAGAAGCUGCGGCUAACUACGUGCCAGCAGCCGCGGUAAUACGUAGGCAGCGAGCGUUGUUCGGAAUUACUGGGCGUAAAGAGUGUGUAGGCGGUGCUCUAAGUCUGUCGUGAAAUCUCCCGGCUUAACUGGGAGGGUGCGGCGGAAACUGGAGUGCUAGAGGGUGGGAGAGGAAAGCGGAAUUCCUGGUGUAGCGGUGAAAUGCGUAGAUAUCAGGAGGAACACCUGCGGUGUAGACAGCUUUCUGGACCACUUC